ACAUAUAAAAUUUUAAAAUUUUUAAAAAAUUAAAUUAAAAAAAAAUACCUUUUGUAUUAGGAACUUUCCAAAAUAAUCAAAAAAAGUCUCGAAAAUUUUAAAACUAGACCAAAAUAAAAAUUAUAAAAAAAAAACAAUUUUGGUUUAAAGGCCAUAUACCAUACUAAAAUAUAUAGCUAGAAUAAAAGUAAUAAAAGAAUAAAAUCCUUUAUAAUAUCAAUAUAAUAAAAAAAUUUUUUUAACAAAAAAUAAUUAAAGAAGAUUUAAAACAAAAAUUAUAUCAAUUAACCAAAAUAUAUAAUAAACAUUCUUUCAGUAAAAAAAAAAAUGAAAGCACUAUUAAAAAAAACUAAUUUAAUUUUCUCAAAAUUUUUACUAGUAAAAAUAUAAACUCUAAUUAAGAACUAGACCAAAUUUAAAUGGAAUGUUUAUCAAAAACACUUCCUAUAAACAUAUAGGUAAAUCUGCACAAUGCUUAAAGUAAAUAGCCGCCAAAGCGCUAAGGUAGCGUAAUAAAAAGUCUUUUAAUUGAAGACCAGUAUGAAAGAAAAAACCACUUAAAAUUUUCUUAUAAGAUUAUUUUAACCUAAAAGAUUAAAAAAUAAAAUCAAAGUUUUGUAAGACGAGAAGACCCUGAAACUUGACUAAACUAAUAGUUUUCUGGGGCAGAAAAUAAACAAUAAUUAUUAUUAUUAAUAAUAAAAAAACCCAAAAUAGGAAUAAAGUACUUCAGGGAUAACAGAGUAAUUAAUUUCAAUAGACCUUAUAUAAAAAAUAGAUUUCGACCUCGAUGUUGGAUUAGGGAAUCUAUCUUCCGCAAUAGGAAGAAAAGAAUGACUGUUCGUCAAUUCAACCCCUACAUGAUCUGAGUUCAGAUCGGCGAAAGCCAGAUCGGUUUUUAUCUACAAAAAAAUAAUUUACCCAACAGUACGAAAGGACAAUGGGUUAGGGAAAUUUCGAGUAAAAUACUCUAAAUUAUUUUACCCCCCCCUCCCUUACCCUAACCAUUAAAUAUUGUACU